UACGUAGGGUGCGAGCGUUAAUCGGAAUUACUGGGCGUAAAGCGUGCGCAGGCGGUUGUGCAAGACAGAUGUGAAAUCCCCGGGCUUAACCUGGGAACUGCAUUUGUGACUGCACGGCUGGAGUGCGGCAGAGGGGGAUGGAAUUCCGCGUGUAGCAGUGAAAUGCGCAGAUAUGCGGAGGAACACCGAUGGCGAAGGCAAUCCCCUGGGCCUGCACUGACGCUCAUGCACGAAAGCGUGGGGAGCAAACAGG
rnacentral:rRNA from 1 species